rnacentral:rRNA from 1 species
GACGAACGCUGGCGGCGUGCUUAACACAUGCAAGUCGUACGGUAAGGCCCUUUCGGGGGUACACGAGUGGCGAACGGGUGCGUAACACGUGAGUAACCUGCCCACAACUUUGGGAUAACGCUAGGAAACUGGUGCUAAUACUGGAAAUGUGCCCCUGCUGCAUGGGGGGGGUUGGAAAGCUCCGGCGGGUGUGGAUGGACUCGCGGCCUAUCAGCUUGUUGGUGGGGUAGUGGCCUACCAAGGCGGCGACGGGUAGCCGGCCUGAGAGGGUGACCGGCGACAUUGGGACUGAGAUACGGCCCAGACUCCUACGGGGGGCAGCAGUGGGGAAUAUUGCACAAUGGGCGCCAGCCUGAUGCAGCAACGCCGCGUGCGGGAUGACGGCCUUCGGGUUGUAAACCGCUUUCAGCAGGGACGAAGCUUUUUGUGACGGUACCUGCAGAAGAAGCACCGGCUAACUACGUG